CGGCAAAAGCUCAAAUUUGAAAUCUGGCAUCUUUCGGAGUCCGAGUUGUAAUUUGAAGAUGGUAUCCUUGGGUUUGGCUCUUGUCUAUGUUCCUUGGAACAGUACGUCAUAGAGGGUGAGAAUCCCGUCCGAUGAGAUGACCCUUCCCAUGGUAAGGGUCCUUCAAAAAUCCAAUUUGUUGGGAAUGGCACUUCUAAGGGGGGGGAAAUUUCCUCCUAAGCUUAAUAUUGGCCAAAAAACCAAUUCGAAACAGUACCGGGGAGGAAAAAAGAAAAAAACUUUUAAAAAAAAAUGAAAAAAUACCUGAAAUUUGUUAAAGGGAAAGGGCUUGAAACCAAAUUGGUGAUUUUGUAUUAUCUUUCCUUCGUGAUGUGCUCUCUCGUAUUUCGCUGCGCCAUCAUCUUGUCCGAUGGGAAAAUUGCGUAGGAAGGAGGCGCCUUCUCUUCUGUGGAUUGUAACCUUUUCCGAUGAUGUCGCCCGACAGGGACGAUGGCUGCGUCUUUUUGACG
rnacentral:rRNA from 1 species